GGAGGAGAGACUCAUGAUACCAGAGAGAAUGGUGGUAACAAAAGUAACAUGGUUCUUGAUUAAAUAACAGUAAAAGGGGAUCCAGACUACACAUGAAUGAACAGGCCUUUUGAGAAAAGUGAGAAUGAGAAGACAGAGGAGGAGGAGAUAUGAAGAGGAGGGAAAUCAAGAGUUUGUAAUAUCUCAUGAUUAUUAAACAUUCAACUGGACAUGUCAGUAAGCAACUGGAUAUAUGAGUCUGGAAUUCCAGAGGGAGACAAGGACCAGAGAUCUGGAUUGGGCGAUCAUUCUUAGACAGAUGGUGUUUAAAUCCUAGGAAGCAGGGAGAUAGAAGAGCAACAUAGCAGCAGGGAGUUUUCAACCCUCUUUCAAGACACCAAAUGAAGCCUCUCAGCUCCCUGAUCAUCUCUUAUUCUUCUGGGCUUGGGGAGAGAGAAGACUCAGCUCAAUUGUUCAGCUCUUCCUCUGCUCCUUGCAGGACUGAGAGAACAGGCACAGACUCAUGGGCUAUUAUCACUUCCCCUCCCUGGGGCU